CCUACGGGAGGCAGCAGUGAGGAAUAUUGGUCAAUGGACGCAAGUCUGAACCAGCCAUGCCGCGUGCAGGAAGACGGCUCUAUGAGUUGUAAACUGCUUUUGUACGAGGGUAAACGCAGAUACGCGUAUCUGUCUGUAUGUAUCGUACGAAUAAGGAUCGGCUAACUCCGUGCCAGCAGCCGCGGUAAUACGGAGGAUUCAAGCGUUAUCCGGAUUUAUUGGGUUUAAGGGGUGCGUAGGCGGUCGGUUAAGUUAGAGGUGAAAGCCUGAGGCUCAACAUCGGAAUUGCCGCUGAUACUGUUCGUCUAGAGUGUAGUAGCGGUAGGCGGAAUGUGUGGUGUAGCGGUGAAAUGCUUAGAGAUCAUACAGAACACCGAUUGCGAAGGCAGCUUACCAGGCUACUACUGACGUUGAUGCACGAAAGCGUGGGGAGCAAACAGGAUUAGAUACCCUAGUAGUC
rnacentral:rRNA from 1 species